rnacentral:lncRNA from 1 species
AGCGAAACCUGUACUUACAGUACGCUGUGUCCAGCCCAGAGUGAGGCUGUUGUGUGGGCGCGAGUACCGCCCCGAAGAGCGGGCCCAGAAGAGUGGGUGCUGGUGGAGCCCCAUGUGGAUUGUCCACAAGUGGAAGUGGCACGAGGACUAGCGACGGUCCGGCGGGGGAGAGUCCCCGUGAGGAUACGGAAUGUACACCCAUACGCGGUGCAACUACAUCGGCACCAACGAUUAGCCCGUCUGACAACGGUUACACCCCACCAAGUAAGGGAAGAGAGGGAUAUUAGUUUUCGUCAGGUGUGCCCCACUGUCAUCGAGGUGGCCCUGACACAAG